GUCGCUUCUCGGCUCUCUGAGCUAAUAUCAUGUGUAGUAUCUGUUCUUUGCAGUGUAAUUUCUGCAACGGUCUCUAAACUGAGACCAAUGAAAUUACCUGUAUUUUUCACCUCCGGACGGGUGCUGUGAGCUUGCUCAACCCCGUCCACGGGUCGGCCUCGUAUUGCAUUACCUCGAGGAUUGGCCCAUUAUGU
rnacentral:snRNA from 1 species